CCAAAAUCCGGGAUCACUUACGCCGAGCACCGAGACGAGUCCUAUGAGGACGAAGUGACUGACACCACGCUUCCAGGAAAAGCCACUAAGCUUCAGCUUAAGAAAAACCGUACCGCAAACCGACACAGGUAGGCAGGGUGAGAAUCCCAAGGCGCUUGAGAGAACUCGGGUGAAGGAACUAGGCAAAAUGGCACCGUAACUUCGGGAGAAGGUGCGCCCUUUGGUGUGGUCACGUGCGUGACUGAGCAUCGAAGGGUCGCAGUAACCUGGCCGCUGCGACUGUUUAUCAAAAACACAGCACUCUGCAAACACGAAAGUGGACGUAUAGGGUGUGACGCCUGCCCGGUGCUGGAAGGUUAAUUGAUGGGGUCAGCCGCAAGGCGAAGCUCUUGAUCGAAGCCCCAGUAAACGGCGGCCGUAACGAUAACGGUCCUAAGGUAGCGAAAUUCCUUGUCGGGUAAGUUCCGACCUGCACGAAUGGCGUAACGACAGCGGCGCUGUCUCCACCCGAGACUCAGUGAAAUUGAAAUCGCUGUGAAGAUGCAGCGUUCCCGCGGCAAGACGGAAAGACCCCGUGAACCUUUACUAUAGCUUUACACUGAACGUUGAGUUCUUCUGUGUAGGAUAGGUGGGAGGCUAUGAAACCAGGACGCUAGUUCUGGUGGAGCCAUCCUUGAAAUACCACCCUGAAGUGCUUGACGUUCUAACCUAGGCCCGUAAUCCGGGUCAGGGACCGUGUAUGGUGGGUAGUUUGACUGGGGCGGUCUCCUCCCAAAGAGUAUCGGAGGAGCACGAAGGUACGCUCAGCGCGGUCGGACAUCGCGCACUGUGUGCAAAGGCAUAAGCGUGCUUGACUGCGAGAUCGACGGAUCAAGCAGGUACGAAAGUAGGUCUUAGUGAUCCGGUGGUUCUGUAUGGAAGGGCCAUCGCUCAACGGAUAAAAGGUACCCCGGGAUAACAGGCUGAUACCGCCCAAGAGUUCAUAUCGACGGCGGUGUUUGGCACCUCGAUGUCGGCUCAUCACAUCCUGGGGCUGUAGCCGGUCCCAAGGGUAUGGCUGUUCGCCAUUUAAAGUGGUACGCGAGCUGGGUUCAGAACGUCGUGAGACAGUUCGGUCCCUAUCUGUCGUGGGCGUUGGAGAUUUGAGGGGGGCUGCUCCUAGUACGAGAGGACCGGAGUGGACGUUCCGCUGGUGUUCGGGUUGUCAUGCCCAUGGCAUUGCCCGGUAGCUACGAACGGAAGUGAUAACCGCUGAAAGCAUCUAAGCGGGAAGCACGCCCCAAGAUGAGAUCUCCCGAGAGCUUGACUCUCCUAAAGGCACCAUCAAGACUAGGUGGUUGAUAGGUCAGGUGUGGAAGCGCAGCAAUGCGUUGAGCUAACUGAUACUAAUGAGCCGUGAGGCUUGAUCA
rnacentral:rRNA from 1 species